rnacentral:rRNA from 1 species
UACGGAGGGUGCGAGCGUUGUCCGGAAUCACUGGGCGUAAAGGGCGCGUAGGCGGCGCGGCAAGUCUGUGGUGAAAGCCCGAGGCUCAACUUCGGGUCGGCCAUGGAUACUGCUGCGCUCGAGCACUGUAGAGGCAGGUGGAAUUCCGGGUGUAGCGGUGGAAUGCGUAGAGAUCCGGAAGAACACCGGUGGCGAAGGCGGCCUGCUGGGCAGUAGCUGACGCUGAGGCGCGAAGGCCAGGGGAGCAAACGGG